UCCUGGACUGAGGUCCCUUCUUCUGAAAUGGAGAGUGCACUAUAGACAGCAGCCGUCUCUCACACUUGCACAGCCUUUCCUAUGCUUUGAACCAGUUCAUUAGCUUAUUUGAGCUGAGUCCCUACAGGUUGAGAGUUUGGAAUUCAGAGUCAGAUUGAAUAUAAUUUAUGGCUUUUACCAGCUCAACCAUUUGCCAACUCUGUGACUGUAUGAAUCACUUAAUCACAAAGGCACAGCUUGCUCUCCUAAAAAGGAGCCAAUAUCAUAAUUACUUUAUAGUAUUGCUGUGAAGAUUCAAUGCAAUCUAACCUUAGCAGAGUGCUCACCAAAUUCUGGCAGUUAUUAUCUUAAAUGUUAGCAAAGUAAACUUCCUGUGAAGGCGAACAUGGCAGGGGACAUUACCCCCCUUUACCAGAUACAGACGCUGAAAUUCAGGGAGUUUUGGUGAUUGCCCAAUUUUUGUAUAAAAUAGUUCAGCACCAACCCAACAGGCAAACUAGACUCUGACUUCAGGUUGGCUUUUCUCCAUAAAGCUCUCUCAAGAUGGUCUUCUAUAUGGAGAUGCUCCACAAUGAAAGCUGGGAAAGGCUUUCUUCAUUCUAGAUGGUCGUAAAGGGGAAAAAUUUUUUUCAAGAAUCACAUGUUUGUAAAUGGAAAAUGAGAAGGGUAUACGGAGAAAGAACAAAGAAGUGGGAUAAAACAUCUUUGG